rnacentral:rRNA from 1 species
AGGGCGCACGGUGGAUGCCUUGGCACUAGAAGCCGAUGAAGGACGUUACUAACGACGAUAUGCUUUGGGGAGCUGUAAGUAAGCUUUGAUCCAGAGAUUUCCGAAUGGGGAAACCCAGCAUGAGUUAUGUCAUGUUAUCGAUAUGUGAAUACAUAGCAUAUCAGAAGGCACACCCGGAGAACUGAAACAUCUUAGUACCCGGAGGAAGAGAAAGAAAAUUCGAUUCCCUUAGUAGCGGCGAGCGAAACGGGAAGAGCCCAAACCAACAAGCUUGCUUGUUGGGGUUGUAGGACACUCUAUACGGAGUUACAAAGGACGACAUUAGACGAAUCAUCUGGAAAGAUGAAUCAAAGAAGGUAAUAAUCCUGUAGUCGAAAAUGUUGUCUCUCUUGAGUGGAUCCUGAGUACGACGGAGCACGUGAAAUUCCGUCGGAAUCUGGGAGGACCAUCUCCUAAGGCUAAAUACUCUCUAGUGACCGAUAGUGAACCAGUACCGUGAGGGAAAGGUGAAAAGCACCCCGGAAGGGGAGUGAAAUAGAACCUGAAACCGUGUGCUUACAAGUAGUCAGAGCCCGUUAAUGGGUGAUGGCGUGCCUUUUGUAGAAUGAACCGGCGAGUUACGAUUUGAUGCAAGGUUAAGCAGUAAAUGUGGAGCCGUAGCGAAAGCGAGUCUGAAUAGGGCGUUUAGUAUUUGGUCGUAGACCCGAAACCAGGUGAUCUACCCUUGGUCAGGUUGAAGUUCAGGUAACACUGAAUGGAGGACCGAACCGACUUACGUUGAAAAGUGAGCGGAUGAACUGAGGGUAGCGGAGAAAUUCCAAUCGAACCUGGAGAUAGCUGGUUCUCUCCGAAAUAGCUUUAGGGCUAGCCUCAAGUGAUGAUUAUUGGAGGUAGAGCACUGUUUGGACGAGGGGCCCCUCUCGGGUUACCGAAUUCAGACAAACUCCGAAUGCCAAUUAAUUUAACUUGGGAGUCAGAACAUGGGUGAUAAGGUCCGUGUUCGAAAGGGAAACAGCCCAGACCACCAGCUAAGGUCCCAAAAUAUAUGUUAAGUGGAAAAGGAUGUGGCGUUGCCCAGACAACUAGGAUGUUGGCUUAGAAGCAGCCAUCAUUUAAAGAGUGCGUAAUAGCUCACUAGUCGAGUGACACUGCGCCGAAAAUGUACCGGGGCUAAACAUAUUACCGAAGCUGUGGAUUGUCCUUUGGACAAUGGUAGGAGAGCGUUCUAAGGGCGUUGAAGCAUGAUCGUAAGGACAUGUGGAGCGCUUAGAAGUGAGAAUGCCGGUGUGAGUAGCGAAAGACGGGUGAGAAUCCCGUCCACCGAUUGACUAAGGUUUCCAGAGGAAGGCUCGUCCGCUCUGGGUUAGUCGGGUCCUAAGCUGAGGCCGACAGGCGUAGGCGAUGGAUAACAGGUUGAUAUUCCUGUACCACCUAUAAUCGUUUUAAUCGAUGGGGGGACGCAGUAGGAUAGGCGAAGCGUGCGAUUGGAUUGCACGUCUAAGCAGUAAGGCUGAGUAUUAGGCAAAUCCGGUACUCGUUAAGGCUGAGCUGUGAUGGGGAGAAGACAUUGAGUCUUCGAGUCGUUGAUUUCACACUGCCGAGAAAAGCCUCUAGAUAGAAAAUAGGUGCCCGUACCGCAAACCGACACAGGUAGUCAAGAUGAGAAUUCUAAGGUGAGCGAGCGAACUCUCGUUAAGGAACUCGGCAAAAUGACCCCGUAACUUCGGGAGAAGGGGUGCUCUUUAGGGUUAACGCCCAGAAGAGCCGCAGUGAAUAGGCCCAAGCGACUGUUUAUCAAAAACACAGGUCUCUGCUAAACCGUAAGGUGAUGUAUAGGGGCUGACGCCUGCCCGGUGCUGGAAGGUUAAGAGGAGUGGUUAGCUUCUGCGAAGCUACGAAUCGAAGCCCCAGUAAACGGCGGCCGUAACUAUAACGGUCCUAAGGUAGCGAAAUUCCUUGUCGGGUAAGUUCCGACCCGCACGAAAGGCGUAACGAUUUGGGCACUGUCUCAACGAGAGACUCGGUGAAAUCAUAGUACCUGUGAAGAUGCAGGUUACCCGCGACAGGACGGAAAGACCCCGUGGAGCUUUACUGUAGCCUGAUAUUGAAAUUCGGCACAGCUUGUACAGGAUAGGUAGGAGCCUUUGAAACGUGAGCGCUAGCUUACGUGGAGGCGCUGGUGGGAUACUACCCUAGCUGUGUUGGCUUUCUAACCCGCACCACUUAUCGUGGUGGGAGACAGUGUCAAGCGGGCAGUUUGACUGGGGCGGUCGCCUCCUAAAAGGUAACGGAGGCGCUCAAAGGUUCCCUCAGAAUGGUUGGAAAUCAUUCAUAGAGUGUAAAGGCAUAAGGGAGCUUGACUGCGAGACCUACAAGUCGAGCAGGGUCGAAAGACGGACUUAGUGAUCCGGUGGUUCCGCAUGGAAGGGCCAUCGCUCAACGGAUAAAAGCUACCCCGGGGAUAACAGGCUUAUCUCCCCCAAGAGUUCACAUCGACGGGGAGGUUUGGCACCUCGAUGUCGGCUCAUCGCAUCCUGGGGCUGUAGUCGGUCCCAAGGGUUGGGCUGUUCGCCCAUUAAAGCGGUACGCGAGCUGGGUUCAGAACGUCGUGAGACAGUUCGGUCCCUAUCCGUCGUGGGCGUAGGAAAUUUGAGAGGAGCUGUCCUUAGUACGAGAGGACCGGGAUGGACAUACCUCUGGUGUACCAGUUGUCGUGCCAACGGCAUAGCUGGGUAGCUAUGUGUGGACGGGAUAAGUGCUGAAAGCAUCUAAGCAUGAAGCCCCCCUCAAGAUGAGAUUUCCCAACUUCGGUUAU